GAUGAACGCUGGCGGCGUGCCUAAUACAUGCAAGUCGAGCGAACAGACGAGGAGCUUGCUCCUCUCACGUUAGCGGCGGGCGUGUGAGUCACACGUGGAUAACCUACCUAUCUGACUGGGAUAACUUCGGGAAACCGGAGCUAAUACCGGAUAAUAUAUUGAACCGCAUUGUUCAAUAGUGAAAGACGGUUUUGCUGUCACUUAUAGAUGGAUCCGCGCCGCAUUAGCUAGUUGGUAAGGUAACGGCCUACCACGGCGACGAUGCGUAGCCGACCUGAGAGGGGGAUCGGCCACACUGGAACUGAGACGCGGUCCAGACUCCUACGGGAGGCAGCAGUAGGGAAUCUUACGCAAUGGGCGAAAGCCUGACGGAGCAACGCCACGUGAGUGAUGAAGGUCUUCGGAGCGUAAAACUCUGUUAUGAGGGAAGAACAGAUGUGUAAGUAAAUAUGGACGUAUUGACGGUACCUAAUCAGAAAGCCACGGCUAACUACGUG
rnacentral:rRNA from 1 species